AGCGCAGGCGGUUGGAAUAGUCUGAUGUGAAAGCCCACGGCUUAACCGUGGAAGGUCAUUGGAAACUGUCCAACUUGAAUACAGAAGAGGUAAGCGGAAUUCCAAGUGUAGCGGUGAAAUGCGUAGAUAUUUGGAGGAACACCAGUGGCGAAGGCGACUUACUGGUCUGUAAUUGACGCUGAGGCUCGAAAGCGUGGGUAGCAAACA
rnacentral:rRNA from 1 species